ACACGGGACAACAGCAGACAACAGGUUAAGACACACGGGACAACAGCAGAGAACAGGGUAAGACACACGGGACAACAGCAGAGAACAGGUUAAGACACACGGGACAACAGCAGACAACAGGGUAAGACACACGGGACAACAGCAGACAACAGGGUAAGACACACGGGACAACAACAGAGAACAGGGUAAGACACACGGGACAACAGCAGACAACAGGUUAAGACACACGGGACAACAGCAGAGAACAGGGUAAGACACACGGGACAACAGCAGACAACAGGGUAAGACACACGGGACAACAGCAGAGAACAGGUUAAGACACAUGGGACAACAGCAGACAACAGGGUAAGACACACGGGACAACAGCAGAGAACAGGUUAAGACACAUGGGACAACAGCAGAGAACAGGGUAAGACACAUGGGACAACAGCAGACAACAGGUUAAGACACACGGGACAACAGCAGAGAACAGGGUAAGACACACGGGACAACAACAGAGAAAGACACAUGGGACAACAGCAGACAACAGGGUAAGACACACGGGACAACAGCAGAGAACAGGUUAAGACACACGGGACAACAACAGAGAACAGGUUAAGACACACGGGACAACAGCAGAGAACAGGGUAAGACACACGGGACAACAGCAGACAACAGGGUAAGACACAUGGGACAACAGCAGAGAACAGGUUAAGACACACGGGACAACAACAGAGAAAGACACAUGGGACAACAGCAGACAACAGGGUAAGACACACGGGACAACAACAGAGAAAGACACAUGGGACAACAGCAGAGAACAGGUUAAGACACAUGGGACAACAGCAGAGAACAGGGUAAGACACAUGGGACAACAGCAGACAACAGGUUAAGACACACGGGACAACAGCAGAGAACAGGUUAAGACACAUGGGACAACAGCAGAGAACAGGUUAAGACACACGGGACAACAGCAGAGAACAGGUUAAGACACACGGGACAACAGCAGAGAACAGGUUAAGACACAUGGGACAACAGCAGACAACAGGUUAAGACACACGGGACAACAGCAGAGAACAGGUUAAGACACACGGGACAACAGCAGAGAACAGGUUAAGACACACGGGACAACAGCAGAGAACAGGUUAAGACACACGGGACAACAGCAGACAACAGGGUAAGACACACGGGACGCUCUUGUGCAGAUUUCUACAAACUCCACAGUGACGGCUAAAUAGCUACAUUUUGUUAGCUUUAUUAAUAGUAUGUGGAGUGUCUGUACACAGUGCACUAUGGGUAGUAUUCUGUCAUAUGAAUGGUUUGUUUACAUGCAAGUCAUCAAUGGAUAA